GUGGGGAAUAUUGGGCAAUGGGGGAAACCCUGACCCAGCAACGCCGCGUGAAGGAAGAAGGCUUUCGGGUUGUAAACUUCUUUUACCAGGGACGAAACAAAUGACGGUACCUGGAGAAAAAGCUCCGGCUAACUACGUGCCAGCAGCCGCGGUAAUACGUAGGGAGCAAGCGUUGUCCGGAUUUACUGGGUGUAAAGGGCGUGUAGGCGGAGAUGCAAGUCAGAUGUGAAAUCUGGGGGCUCAACCCCCAAACUGCAUUUGAAACUGUAUCCCUUGAGUAUCGGAGAGGCAGGCGGAAUUCCUAGUGUAGCGGUGAAAUGCGUAGAUAUUAGGAGGAACACCAGUGGCGAAGGCGGCCUGCUGGACGACAACUGACGCUGAGGCGCGAAAGCGUGGGGAGCAAACAGGAUUAGAAACCCGAGUAGUCC
rnacentral:rRNA from 1 species